rnacentral:rRNA from 1 species
CGCUCAGGGAGGGGCUCGCGGCCUAUUAGUUAGUUGGCGGGGUAAUGGCCCACCAAGGCAAAGACGGGUAGCCGGUCUGAGAGGACGGACGGCCACAUUGGAACUGAGACACGGUCCAAACAUCUACGGAUGGCAGCAGUUUCGAAUUAUUCACAAUGGGCGAAAGCCUGAUGGUGCGACGUCGCGUGGAGGAAGAAGGUCCUUGGAUUGUAAACUCCUGUCAUUAGGGAGCAAGUUACGGUGGAGAGCUGUAAUUGAGUUAACCUAAAGAGGAAGCAGUGGCAAACUCCGUGCCAGCAGCCGCGGUAAUACGGAGACUGCGAGCGUUACUCGGAAUUACUGGGCGUAAAGGGUGCGUAGGCGGCAGAUUAUGUUGAGUGUAAAAAUGCGAAGCUUAACUUCGUAGGGCGCUCAAAACUGAUUUGCUAGAGUGACAUAGAGGUAAGCGGAACUCCAGGAGUAGCAGUGAAAUGCGUAGAUAUCUGGAAGAACACCGAAGGCGAAGGCAGCUUACUGGGUGAGAACUGACGCUGAGGCACGAAAGCGUGGGGAGCGAAAGGGAUUAGAUACCCCUGUAGUCCACGCCGUAAACGAUGUACACUAGGUUUUGGGACAUUCGGUCGUCUCAGGAUUCAAGCGAACGUGAUAAGUGUACCGCCUGAGGACUACGGCCGCAAGGCUAAAACUUAAAGGAAUUGACGGGGACCCGCACAAGCGGUGGAGCAUGUGGCUUAAUUCGAUGCAACGCGAAGAACCUUACCUAGGCUUGACAUAGGUUAGACCGUGUAUGAAAGUACACCUUCUGCAAAGACUGAUCUACAGGUGCUGCAUGGCUGUCGUCAGCUCGUGUCGUGAGAUGUUCGGUUAAGUCCGGCAACGAGCGCAACCCUCGUUCUUAGUUACCAGCGGGUAAAGCCGGGGACUCUAAGGAGACAAACGAAAGUGGGAAGGUGGGGAUGACGUCAAGUCAGUAUGGCCCUUAUGUCUAGGGCUGCACACGUGCUACAAUGCUCGGUACAAAGGGAAGCGAGGCUGUGAAGCGGAGCGAACCCGAAAAAGCCGAGCCCAGUUCGGAUUGAAGUCUGCAAUUCGACUUCAUGAAGCCGGAAUCGCUAGUAAUGGUAUAUCAGCAACGGUACCGUGAAUACGUUCCCGGGUCUUGCACUCACCGCCCGUCAAG